rnacentral:rRNA from 1 species
CUACGGGGCGCAGCAGUGGGGAAUAUUGCACAAUGGAGGAAACUCUGAUGCAGCAACGCCGCGUGGAGGAUGACACUUUUCGGAGCGUAAACUCCUUUUAUAUAGGAAGAAGAUGACGGUACUAUAUGAAUAAGCGCCGGCUAACUCCGUGCCAGCAGCCGCGGUAAUACGGAGGGCGCAAGCGUUACUCGGAAUCACUGGGCGUAAAGAGCGUGUAGGCGGAUUAAAAAGUCAGAAGUGAAAUCCUAUAGCUUAACUAUAGAACUGCUUCUGAAACUCUUAAUCUAGAAUAUGGGAGAGGUGGAUGGAAUUUCUGGUGUAGGGGUAAAAUCCGUAGAGAUCAGAAGGAAUACCGAUUGCGAAGGCGAUCUACUAGAACAUUAUUGACGCUGAGACGCGAAAGCGUGGGGAGCAAACAGGAUUAGAUACCCGGGUAGUC